CUCCUUUCUCGGCAGCCUGCACAGCUGUUGGGCUGGAGCUACGCAAGCCGGGUGUAGGCUUCACAAGCAAACAAACAGAUGAACAAAAGAACAGAGGAGCAGAAGAGUGGCAUGGUGGAGAAGGAGAGAAAAGAAGGAGCAUCUGAAUGUUGACAGGAGUUCAGCUGGGGACAGUCAGAGAGAUCUGCCAUGGGACAGCCAAACUCCAGGAAAAGAUCCUCUUCCCACUCCAUCCCCUUUUCAGCUCCCCAUCCUUCCCUCUAAGAGCCACAUCCAUCACCCAAUAAAAUUCCUGCAUUCACCAUCCUUCAAA